rnacentral:rRNA from 1 species
UACGGAAGGCAGCAGUGGGGAAUAUUGCACAAUGGGCGCAAGCCUGAUGCAGCCAUGCCGCGUGUAUGAAAAAGGCCUUCGGGUUGUAAAGUACUUUCAGUCGUGAGGAAGGUGUUAAGGUUAAUAACCUUAGCAAUUGACGUUAGCGACAGAAGAAGCACCGGCUAACUCCGUGCCAGCAGCCGCGGUAAUACGGAGGGUGCGAGCGUUAAUCGGAAUUACUGGGCGUAAAGGGCACGCAGGCGGUUAAUUAAGUUGGAUGUGAAAUCCCCGGGCUUAACCUGGGAAUGGCAUUCAAGACUGGUUAGCUAGAGUCUUGUAGAGGGGGUAGAAUUCCAUGUGUAGCGGUGAAAUGCGUAGAGAUGUGGAGGAAUACCGGUGGCGAAGGCGGCCCCGUGGACAAAGGACUGACGCUCAUGUGCGAAAGCGUGGGGAGCAAACAGGGAUUAGAUACC